AAGGGUCUGUCUGUCUGUGUUGCAGUGAACAGAAACCCACACUUGCCUGGUGUUGGUUCACAGCUUGGCUUGCAUCUCUCCUGUACGUGACUCUUAAAAUUGCUGCUGAAUUACAGGUAAGCUCUAUGCUAGAAGAGCAAUAAUGAACUGGCCCUUGGCAGAAAACCGGUCAAUAAGUAUGUUUCUUUCUUCUUUUGGCCCACUGUUGGGGGACUUUGGGUUGCUUGCAAAAGCAGCAGUUCAAAGCAGAAUAUAUGCCGAAUAGAUGGACUGGGAGAGAUUAAUGUAUAUCAGAUACAGAGCUAUCUCCUUUAUCCAUCUGUCAUGGAGGCUUUAUCUGAGUUCCCUGCAUUGCAGGGUUUUGGACUAGAUGACCCUUGGGGUCGCUUCCAAGUCUACAGUUCUGUGAUUCUAUGAUACUUCUGCCUAGGCUUUUGCUUGUUUUCUCCAGGUACCAAGCAUUUUGGGGAUGGGUGACUCGAAAACUACAAGUACAUAGAACUACCUUUGAAGGUGACUCAGAAACUACAAUGAAUCCAGAAUGUGGCAGCUAAACUGGUGACUGGGAGCAGCUGCCGAGACCAUAUAACACCAGUCCUAAAAGAUCUACAUUAGCUCCCAGUACAUUUCUGAGCACAACCCAAAGUGUUGGGGCUGACCUUUAAAGCCCUAAAUGGAUUUGGCCCUGUAUACCUGAAGGAGCGUCUCCACUCCCAUCAUUCAGCCUGGACAUUGAGGUCCAGGUCUGAAGGCCUUCUGGUGGUUUCCUCACUGUGAGAAAUGAAGUUACAGGGAACCAGCCUUCUCAGUAGUGGCACCUGCCCUGUGGAAUGCCCUUCCGUCAGAUGUCAAGGAAAUAAUCAACUAUCUUACUUUUGGAAGACAUCUGAAGGCAACCCUGUAUUGGGACGUUUUUAACGUUUCAUGUUUUACUGUGGUUUUAUAAUUUGUUGGAAGCUACUCAGAGUGGCCAGGGCAACCCAGUCAGAUGGGUGCCAUAUUAUUAUUAUUAUUAUUAUUAUUAUUAUUAUUAUUAUUAGUGGAAGAGUCUUUUUCCAGCUACAUGCUAGUAUUUUAACCCAUAGUAAGAAACCUUGAAGAGCUGCGGCCAAUCAGUGUAGACAAAACUGAGGUAGAUGGACCGAUGGUCUGACUGGGUAUAAGGCAGCCCCACCACCACUUUCUGGGCACUGCCCAGGAGAAAGGAGCAGAACCACUGCAUAACAGUGCCAUUAAGUUCAAUGGGUCUACUUUGAGUAAAAUGAAGUUGAAUACCACCCCAAGAUAAAAGAAUAAAAAAUUAAUACAAUAUUGACAAUUGAGGAAAAUAGGUAAAGCUGGUAAAAUGAUGAAGCUAUCACCAUGUGGAGAUAUGGAUUGGAAGAAAUUUUAUUUUAAAAUUAUUUUAUUUUUUUGCUGAAUAUGAAAAGAGAAAAUUAAUGAUAACAUGCCCUGUAUUUUCUUUGCUGUAAAUUACAUUUUUCUAUUUGUUUGCUGCAGGUUACUGUUGGAGCUGCAAUUUAUUGCAAUUUUAGAAAAAGGGAAAUACUGUAAAAGGGAAAAUAAUGCGUCCAGGAUUGUGCUAUUGUAAGCAACAACUUCCCAGCCGAGGGGGUUAAAGAGAUGUCAAGUUCAAAAGAAGCAUACUGAACUCUUCCCACUUUCGCUGUUUAACAUAAUGGUUCAGAUUCUACUCUUGAUGUGUCAUCCCUCCCAUGUGACAGGAUAUAUGACUGUAAAGUUGGCAGGGAUUUUGCUCUUUAUGCUACGCUGUGCUCACAAGUGGCUGCAAGGAAUGAUAAUCUGCUCAUUGGCACAUGUAUUGAGCAACAGUCAUAGCUGGAAUGAAAGAGAUUCCUUCAUUUCCUGUGUCUGUAUGAUAAGAAACAGAAACUGCUCAAAGGCUGCCAGACCACCUUCCUUCUCCUGUCAGGACUUUUAAAGUACAUAUACCAGUAAGUGAAACAUACAUAGUACAAUCUACUCAACACAUGGGGUUCAGCAGGUAAGCAAGUUAUAGCAUUGCAGCCUUAAGCAGACAGCUUUAAUGAAAGGAGUAUGAAGGAAGGAAACAAAAAAUGCGAUGAGCACAUGGACCAUAUCAAGAAAAGAAAGCCCAUAUCAAAUACAUUAGAAAGCAAAAGCUUCACAUAUAAUUAUGCAGAACACAUAGACAAAAUUUUAUAUUGUAUUUACAAAAACUGAAAAUGAACAAUACAGUGGUACCUCUGGUUACUGUACUUAAUUCGUUCUGGAGGUCCGUUCUUAACCUGAAACUGUUCUUAGCCUGAAGCACCACUUUAGCUAAUGGGGCCUCCCACUGCCGCCACACGAUUUCUGUUCUCAUCCUGAAGCAAAGUUCUUACCCCAAGGUAAUAUUUCUGGGUUAGUGGAGUCUGUAACCUGAAGCAUAUGUAACCUGAAGCGUAUGUAACCCGAGGUACCACUGUAAUGAGAAAAUUACCCAUCAGGAUAAGCGCCUCAGAAACCAGACUCUUCCCAAAUAUUUUCCUGAGAGGGGAAGCUUUUACAGCAAAAGCGGCUAACUAUGCAAAUUAAAAUCACAUUAAUUCCAAUGGACUUGAAAGGAUAUUAAUGUUGCAGAAUCCCUUACAGCCAGUUUGGGUAUUCCGUGGCUCUCAGAUGUAAUCAGAAGUCAGCUCCUCUGGCCCCCAGCCAGCAAGGCCAAGGGUCUGGCAUGAUGGACUUUGUAGUCCAAUGACUUCUGGAGGGCCACGAAGUACCCAUCCCAGCUAUAUAACUUCUAGACACUUUUAUCACUCCUCACUUCCUCUGACCUCAGGAGGGGGAAUAUCAUUGAUGUGUCGCUUUCUCUCCUUCGGGAUCUUAGCAAUAUAGAUUUACAAGCCCAAGGCAUGAAAAGAUAAGGCCACUUAAUGAUCAUGCCUGUUAAUCUUUCCCAAGGCUGUGCUGUGCUGACUUCAGACUCUGGCUUUUUGCAAAGGAGCUAUUUGGAUACAAAUCUCAAAAGAACCAAAUCCUGAUUGAACUCACAUUCCUUUCCCGUUCUGUACAAUGGCAGUAUUUGAGGGCUUAAAACAAAACAAAACAAAACAAAACAAAACAAAACAAAACAAAACAAAACAAAAACCCUCUUCAUGAUUAGGAUUCGAGAGUUGGCAUUGAAUACGUGCAGGAUAGUGUUAUCAACGGCUACUGGUCAUUAUGGCCCCAUGUUAUCUCCAGCAUCAGAGACAGCAUGCUUCUGAAUACCAGUUGUUGGGAAUGACAAACUGGAAUGUGUGGUUACCUCCAUGUCCUUCUGGUGAGAUUUCCAGAGGUAUCUGGUCAGCCAGUGUAGAAAACAGGAGGCUGGACUACCCAGGCCAGCCUAGUAGCUGGAGGCAUGGCGUGGCUGUGCCUUUCUCCUGACCUCCAUCCAGCAGAGUCACUACAGCAUACAGAGAGUAGAUGUGGUGUUGGAAAGAUUGGUGCAGUGCUAACAUGGCAGCAAGAGCACCAGAUUGGCUCCACCAGCGUGUUUGCACCAUGCCAGCCCCUCUCUCUCCAUCUCAGUAUACUGCCGUGAUGGAGUAGGUCGAAGGUCAGGUGAGUGGCACAUACAACAACACCCUCUACUGGGUCAGCCCAUGCCAACCUGCUGCCUUCAAGAUGUUUGAACGAAGGCUGACAUAGGCCUUUCGUCUGAUUCUGCAGGGUCUUACAGCAUACUGAUGAAUCUGUUAAGGAAAUAAUACUUGCCCUAGCAUAGGGCAAGAGAAGCACUCAAGUCAAUACAGGUAGGUUUGAGCUUAGAUGUGUGCUGCGCUUUUUUAUUGUUGUGUGAAUUCUUUUGGGAAAGCAUGAUCAAACUUUACGUGUAAAUAACUAAAAAUAUAUUUUUGGAAAUGGGUUAGAUGCUACAAGCUGAAUUCCCAGCAGUCUUUCUUGAAACAAAAUUGCCACAGAGGUCACUUCCAGUUCAGCCUAGAGCCAUUUUGGCUCAUGUUGAUAAGUAGAACCCCAGGGUUACAAAACUAUAGUUGCAGGCCCUCCUCAACCAAACCGGGGGUCUUCCAGAGGUUUUGGGCUACAUCUCCCCUCAUUCCUGACUUUCGACAUUGCUUACUGGGGCCAAUAAGUGCAGUGGGCCAAAGCGUUGAGAUUGGCACCAGGUUGACAAAGGUCAUUCUACGCAUUCCCUUGCCCGAAGUCCUCCGGUGUUUGUCAAUCUAAUGGUUCAAGCUUGAGGGAAUGUAGUCUGAGCACAUUUUCUGCUAGUGCCUGUCCUGUCUCCAACAGCAAAGAGGCUUUCUGGCAAUCACUGACUCAUUCUGUUCAAACACACCAAAUUGGCAUUUGUAGCUAAAGGCAGAAUGAUGAAACCAGAUCUCUCUCUUUUUUUUUCUUUUUCUUUUUAAGAAAGUGACUUUCCUGUUCAGCUGCUGUGUAGGUUUGACCCAAGGCAGUAGCAGUAUGUUUAAUUUGAUAGUAGACAAAACUCGUUUGUUCCUACUUAGAAUCAUGCACUGAAACAUAAUAUAUAGGACAGGGAAAGGUAAGCAGGGGGAGUCCUGUUUCCUGGAUGGGGAAUAUUUUUCAGUCUGGGGGUUGAAUUUCCCAGUGGAAAAUAUUCAUACUAGCAGGUGAGGCAAAGGAUGCUGCUCUAACCAUUGUACAGGCCACACUGCAGUCAUGCAAAAGGACAGAGGCUUCCAGUGGUGGGUGGUGCCCACUGGGACAGGUAGGGCAGAAAGAAGGGAGAGCAAAUGUAGGUGGCACAGGAGCCAAUGACAGGCAAAGCCAUCUAAUGCUAGAUCUGUUCCCAUCCACCUCCCUGCUGAGUUCAAGAGGACAAGACUGUGACUAAGUAGGAGGGGGAAGCUGAUCACUCUGGGAAGAUUGCAUUUCUCAGAGCUCCCUAUGCACACUACCUUAAACUGUGUUUCAUGUGUCUGUCAUGAGAACCCACAAUGGGGCAUUUUAGGGUGGGAUGGACAGGGACCCAGUGGAUCCCAAACAAGUGUAUUCCCCAGAAAGAGGCCCAGUCAGGCCCCUGUGGUGCACAAGACUGGAGCUGGGGUUUUUUUUCAGAAUAAGAGAGAGGAAGGGAAAGGAGGAGGAGAACUAGUUUCUGCUCCUGCCACUAAUGCAGCAAUGAAAUAAAAUACAUAUAAGCGGAGCUAGGAGAAGGGGAGACGACAGCAGCAACAGGAAGAGGAAAAGAAGAGUUGGGGGUGGCUCCUGCUGCUUGCCUCAGGCCGCCUAUUCCUUUGCGCCGGCCCUGCACACAACUCAGAGAAAGAUGUAACAUUUAAAAUGUGGGGUAGCUUUCUGUCAGGCACAACUGUUGAAAACCACUUCCUUUUCUUUAUGACUGAAACCAUGGGCCUUUAAAACAAUUAUAACUUGAUUUAUACUCAGUGGGGCCUCAAGAAGCUGGGGGGUGGAGGGGAAUCAUUUGUACAUUGGCAAUUGGAGUGUGUGGGAUGUUAAGGGAGGGGCAGUACCUCUCAUGCUCCUUCUAGGGUAGUUUGUCUCUCUACCCAUCUGGCUCUAGUCUGCAUAUUGUGUCAUGAUUGUGUUAUGUGAUCAGAUUGUACUGUGGACAAACCUACAGGGAGAUUAUAUCACACCUUUCGCAACAUACAUACGACCUGUCUGAUUGCAACCCAUUGACCUGAGUGUGAAGAAGUUCCCAGCUCUCCUGCAGAUUAGACCAGCAAUAAUAUUUCUUCUUUGUCACCAUGCCUCAGUUCAACCCCAGAACCUGAAUGAGGGCAACUCCAAGAUUUGAAAGUUUGAGGGCACAACUACCAGCUAACUCCCCAUUCAGUGCUGGAUGAAUUCAGUCAGUUUUUCCUUUGCCAGUACUGUAAAAGUGUGUCACAAGCAAUCUGGCAUACGAGGGGAGAAAUAAUUGGUGGUCAAAAGCAUGCAGUCAAACCCCAGGUUCCAAACUAAGAAGCUUUAGUCUCAUUAGGCAUAAGGGAUGAGGAAGAAAUUUCCAGCAGAGGAUAGGACCCAGAAGACAAGACCUGGAUCACUCAGCUUAAAUUACAAGAGAAAGUAUUUAGGCUAAACAUUAAGGCUAAUGUCCUCAGGAUACUAGCUGUUGGACAGUGGAAGAGACUGUGUUGGAAAUUGGUGGGUUCUCUAGCUACUGUUAGAGGUUUGCCACAGACUAUCAAAGAACGUUAGUUGCCAUUCACCGGGCCCCAUUGGCCUUCUCCUGUCCUAACCCUAAUCUUAUAGUUACUAUGAAAAGGUUUUCUGGAAGAGAGAAAGCUUGAAAACCACUAUUCUAAACUCUGAGUUUGUCUGUAAACAAAUUUAUGGGCUACCUGCGCAAGGUCAAUGAUGGUGAUUUUAUUAGUCACUUGACACAUAAGUCUUACCUAUUACAUAAAACACAUAUUCCAAUUAAAAUUUCAGAGAAAGUGAUAGAUCACUUGGAAGAAAGUUCAUUUUGGCAAUAUGUAAUGUUUACUGAGGCCCCAAAAUAGGAUGAACAGUACAUAGUCUACUGUACUUACACUGCUACACCAUCAGUGGUAGGCUUGAACAUUUACCUUACUAACUUUUGUAGGAAACUCAAACAGGUUUCUAUCUUUGCAGUUCAGUUUAUCUGUCAUGGAUAGUUUAGUUGAGUUUUAGUUGAGAUUCCAACAUUGCAGGAAGGUUGGACGAGGUGACCUGUCCAGCUCUACAAUUCUAUGAUUCUAUGCCUUACCUCACAUUGGUUAUCCCUUAGAAUUAUAAUAGUCUAUGGUUUGUUAAAUGCAUUAGUCAGAGGAGGAGGGCAUCCUAUCUCGUUGAGCAACGUGAAGAGUCCUUUUCAGCUGACAAGGUCAAAGUCCUUCAUCAGGUCUAUGAAGGCGAUGCUCUCGGUAUUUCUCCUGCACUGGAACAGUGAGAAAAUCAUGUCAGCUGUUGACCUUUCAGCUCGAAAGCCACAUUGUGACUUGGGAUAGACCCUGUCAGCAAGUAACUGUAAUCCCACAGUACUCAGAAGGGAGAUUCCACCAUGGUAGUUGUUACAAUCACCUUUGUCCUUAUAGCUCAACAACUCUUGCUCCCUAAAAAAUAUUCUCAACAACUCUGGUCUAUCCUCUAAUGACCAAUGUGUAGAUCACUGCCAGUUUUUUAAAUAGUGUGAGUAGAUCCCAAUCUCUUGGGAGUUGGACGUGCCUGUUAUAAGGGGUCACAAUGCUGGAGUCACACAGAUCUUGUGGCACGAAUCCUUUUCCCCAACACUGCAAGAGGAGGCCAUGGCGGUGUGUCAUGAGGGAUUGAGGCUGGCUUUUAGCACUUCUGUUGGGAUUCCACCCUGUCCUGCAGCUUUCCCAUGUCCCUGGGAGUUGAUGAUGUUCUUCAGCUUGUCAAGGGAGGGAGGGACACCCAGCUCUUCCAAACAUCUGGAUGCUGUCAGUUGCUGGGUUGGAUACCAUGUUUCAUCAUGAAUACAGUUCUUGAUAGUGCUCUGCCCUUUGCUGCUUAAUAAUAAUACAGUGGUACCUUGGGUUAAGUACUUAAUUCGUUCCGGAGGUCUGUUCUUAACCUGAAACUGUUCUUAACCUGAAGCACCACUUUAGCUAAUGGGGCCUCCUGCUGCUGCCGCCCUGCCGGAGCCCGAUUUCUGUUCUUAUCCUGAAGCAAAGUCCUUAACCUGAAGCACUAUUUCUGGGUUAGCGGAGUCUGUAACCUGAAGCGUAUGUAACCUGAGGUACCACUGUACUAAUACUAAUACUUGAAUUUGUAUUGUUUGUAUUUAUUUCUUCAUUUGAUUGCAAAGGUAAUCCAACUACUCUGAACUUAGCAUCUCAAUGGGAAUCAUCUGAUGGGCUUGUUCCAGCCCUGAAGAAUGCACAAUUAUUUUAUAGAGUAUGCAGGAUACAGCUGCCUUGCACGGAAGGGAGGAGUCAGCUAUUUCCAUUGUAGCAACAAAGCAUGCAGGUUUUCCCAGUAGGAACCUGUCCAUGAGUUUUGCUUCCAUGGGCUUUACUGCUUUACAGAUCAGGUCCUUUGAGACGGAGGAGGAGAGAGAAAUGAAACAUUCAUUUUUUAUUUUUUAUUAUUAUUUAGGGAUAACAAAAAAAAUAGAGGAAGCAAGCAAGUGCUGGGUAAAAACAAAAUAAAAACAAAAUUGGCUGCAUGGUAAACGAUUGUUCUUCUGGGGAUAUACUGUAUUAGCUCAUUCAGAACCGAAGCCAUUUUAUUUCCAGGUGUCUUGAAACUGAGUACAAAACAUACUGAGACUAUCAUAAUAAAACAUGAUUGGAGCUGAACUGUUGCACACAACACAGGCAUUAAUAAUGCUUUUUAUAUGAGCGCCUGGCCUAUGUUAUACAUAAUUUAUUUUUAAUUCUUAGGUGCUUAAUGUGCUUCAUUUUUUCCCCUCUACAUCAGCAGUUGGCAGCAGCUGUAAUGUGAGAAAACGUCUGAAUGAUCAUCGCUCUUAGACUCAACAUUUAUGAUUGCUUAAGGGCUUUGUGUCUCUGACAGCAACAAAUAAAGUUCGCUUGCACACAACUCUGGGAAAGUCACUAAAAGAUAACACGACCAGAGAGAAAAUCCUAAGCAUCUGAAAUAAAUACAAGCUAAGCAUUUCCCCCC